CCACACAGCAUAGUACCCAGAGUCCGUCCUUUGUACCUGACAUCGUACCUGACACUGUUAGGCUGGAAUUGAAGUGGUUU
rfam:Sus scrofa chromosome 6.